CAUAUGUAUUUGAGUUUAGAAGCUAUGCUUAUGUAUCUGAUUAAGGAACUGGGAGUGUUUCUUACCCAGUUGGCUAUGAAGAGUAUCAUCUUCAAGUAGGAUCUUGAGGACCAGUGAGCUGGCUUAGUGAGGACCAGUGAGUGGCUUUGCCACCAAGUACGAUGACCUGAGUUCAAUCCUUGGGACUCACAUAAUAGCAGGAGAAAACUGAUUCUCACAAGUUGUCCUCUGACUUCCACAUGUGGGUACACACACACACACACACACACACACACACACACACACACGCACGCACGCACGCACGCACGCACACACACACACACACACACACACACACACACCACACACACACCAAAAUGUAAUUAAAAAAUAAGUGCUAUCUUGAGACAGUCACUUUUUAUUUUAAAGAUGUGAGACACUCAAGAGAAAUUAUAAGCUCAGAUCCAAGGAACUGAGGGAAGAUGGAGUAAAAAGAGGAGGAGUCAUGCUGCACAGAAGGGGAAUGAACUUUAAAACAACAGUCUGGGGAAGGAAAGCAGGUCUAGAUUGAGAAAUAUUUUAGUUUUGGAGACUGAGGGAGAUUAAUCGGGAGACAGCGUUGGUUCUUUUCAAAAUUGGAUGCAAAAAUGCCUCCCAGAGAGUGGAGGUAACUUGUUGCCAGGGAGAAGGCCCACAGAGAUUGUGGAGUGUGGAAUCUUGCUGCAGAACACAAGGGGAGAACGCUGACUGCAGAAUGAGGCCAGACCAGCUGAGAUCAAGAACUGCGUGUUCGAAAUGGCUACUCUCCAUAGUUGUGUGAGCCCUGCCCUCCAUCCUGAGAAGCACGGAUCUUGGCUUCUUGGCUUCCAGAAUUUAAGCACAAAUACAGGAUGUGGCAGAAGAGUGUGGGAGCAGAGGAUGGCAACAUUCUGCUGGUCUGGCCUGGUCUAGAUGAGCUCUUAGGACAAUCCUUUGCUUUUGGCUGAAUGACAUCAUAACUGGGCAAUAGUGCUAUACUCUUAUCCACUGUUGAGGACCGUGAUUGGCUGUCAAAGGCUUCAUUUCUGGAACCUACACGGCGGCAGAGAGCGGCCAGUAUUCUCUGAUCGAUUAGUUGGAGCUAACCACUGCCAGGCGGGCUGCUGCGGUCCAGCACACACCCCAGCUGAGCAAAGAUGGUGAGUUGGAACAGCGCCAUUGCUGCGGGCAUGUGCGGUGCCCUCUUCAUCCGGUAUUGCACCUACUUUGACCGCAAAAGGCGGAAUAACCUUAACUUCAAGAACAGGCUUUGAGAACGAAGACAAAUUCUCAACUAUUCUCACAAAAAUUUUUGCUAAGAUUAGAGGAAGAAACAGAAAGCUUGCAGAGUAGAUAUGUUAUAAUUAGAAACAAUGUAGGACUUUAUUAUGGAUGUAAACAUGGGUAGCCCAGUUUCAGGAAAUCGGAUGAUGGCAAUAGCAGUCAUAUUCAGCCACUGUUGACUCAGUAAUAUCAAAUCCUGGUUUUACUUACAGUCUUCAGUUUGUAAUUGUGGGCUUACAUUCAUCAAGGUGAGAGGAGGCCCAAUAUAACAGUUAGUGUGAUUCGCAGCUUUCAAAUGUUUAAGCACAUUGUACAUUGGGCCCAUUUAGACUCCUGCCUUGGCACACAUUAGGUCUUGGUCAUAGUGUGAGGUUCAAAUGUAAAACUGAAGGCUGCUGAGAUUAACACCCACACUUUUGAUUGUUUCCUCAUCUUUCUUUCCCUUCACCCUUAUGUGGAUCAGGGAGGCAGAUUGCAUAGCUAACGGCUAGGAUUUCUGUCCUUACACUCCACUGCUGAGAUAGAAGAUAACAAGGACACCUACAUACUGCAGCCCACCGGUGAAGUAGAACAUUCCAGUGCCCCCAAGAAGGGAAUGGCGAAAGGCUGAGCUCCCUGAGGCGGAGGACUUGUAGAGGUGACUUUUCUUUUUCCUAGAGAUCUAUCUUGUAGGUCAUGAGGUGUUUUUAAGAGUGAAACAUGAGUUAAGCUUGGAGGAUAAGUAGUAAGCACUCUUUGUUCUGAGAAGGCAUAGAAACAUCUAGUCUGGGAACGCAGUUAUAAGUAGGGUGUGAAGGUAUAUAUACAUACAUACAUAUAUAUACAUAUACAUACAUACAUACACACACACACACACACACACACACACACACACACACACACACACACAUAUAUAUAUAUAUAUAUAUAUAUGAGACAAGAGAAAAAGAACAGCAGAGGAGAGACGAUGAGUCUGGAGGAAUUGGAAAUUGGAAGGUGUGUUGGAGAAAAGGGCGGAAUGCAGUGGAUAAAAUAGGGAGGGCCUCAGCUGAUGCAGGAGCCUGGGAAAAACACUAUUCUCAGGUUACGUGGGGAGCAUGUGGGAGAGGGAGGAUGAGGGAGACGUUGGAAAAUAGAGAUUUCAUGGGUGAUUGUGAAUUGUUAUAAUUGGUUUCAAUCAGGCAAAACAAAGCAGAUGAUUAAGACGGUGUCCACUUAUGAGAAAUCUGCAUUUUAGUAUCUGGAUAUCUCCACAGCAAGCCGAAAGCAGGCACACUACCCACCUCACAGCCAGAUUCUUGCUCCAAAGACAUUUUUAAGAGCCAAUUUUCUGAGUGUCUUUGCUUAGCUAUAAAGAAAGCAAAGGGCAGCAGGAAGGGUGAGGGCCAGGAAAAUUUGAGAUGAUUUUUCCCCUUGUUAUAUAAUGAAACUUAAAAAAAAUGAGAUAAGACCAUCAGUCAAUCAGUUUCUUUGAUUCUGAGCCAAGUCAAGAUAUUCUCAGUUCUGUUUGCUCAUUUUUAAAGUGUUUACUGUGAGCAAAUUCUCAUCUGCUUAGCUCCUCCUCCUGGAAAGAUAUUUAUGCUCACAAGAAAAUCUAUCACCGGUCAAAAAAUAUCUUGUGAGGUUGAGAAGGUAAGCAGUAUUUAUGAAAAUGAAUACUUUAGGGCCAAGUAGUAGUUGUUUAGGCUUUUAAUCCCAUUACUUGGGAGGCAGAGGCAGGUGGCCCUCUGUGAGUUCUAGGACAGCAGGGUCUACAGAAUCAGCUCCAGGACAGCCAGGACUUUAUAGAGAGACCUUGUCUCACAAAGCAAAGCAAAGCAAAGCAAAGCAAAGCAAAGCAAAGCAAAGCAAAGCAAAGCAAAGCAAAGCAAAGAAGCAAAGCAAAGCAAAGCAAAGCAAAGCAAAGCAAAGCAAAAAGCAAAGCAAAGCAAAGCAAAGCAAAGCAAAGCAAAGCAACAAAGCAAAACCAAAUAAAACACACUUAAAAAUCCAUGAACUUUAUCUCCAGUAACGUCUCCUAGCCCUAAUGAAGCUGUUGGGGAAUGUUUGCAGAGGAAGUUGUAGUCCCGAAUUCUCUUCCUUCAUACAACACAGUGCAGCCUUGGACUGACCUUGUUAAUGAAAGGCAUCAGGCAACACACACCUACACCCCUCUCUAGUGAGACAUAGGCACCCCUGUAUCCCGGGGUCUAACUCAGCUUUCUUUCCAGACGUGUCGUUCUGGCCGACUCCCUCUGCUCAACUGCUAUGUUCCAUUUAGCCCAUUAUCUGAGAUCCACUUAUUUACCUAUUCAACUCUACCAAGCAUUCAUUUAUGCCCAACAGGAAAGUUGGUCAGCUGUAGUCCAUUGGUUACACAUUUUAUUUUUGCCUUUGAUCUUAGAGUCCGUGUUUCCACAUUCUAUAAGUUAUAUCCCUACUCUUUUACUGAUGUUGCUGAGGUCAGAGGUCACCUUUGGGAAUUCUUUUCUCCUUCCACCAUUUGGCUGCCAGAGAUUGAACUCAGGCUAUGAGUUUUGUAAAGGUAAAAGUACCUUUCCCUGAUGAGCCAUCUUGUCAGCCCAAAUUUUAACACAUCUGCACUCAUGAAGCUUCUGUAUUUGUGCUAUAAACUUAUCUGUGUAUUUGACAAAUAGUGUUACUUAUCAUUGUAAUGUCAGAUAGAAUAACUUUGCCACCUUAAUAAAUACCCUCCUUGCCCCCCUCCUCUUUAGACUUCCCUCUUUACCUUGAACAUUCUGAAAUAAUCACACACUGAUUUUUAAACAACCUUUAUGUUUUAUCUUUUAUGAGAUGCCAUAUGGUUAGUAUUUAAAGAUUUUGUUUAUUUUAAAGUAUGAGUUUAUGUAUGCAUAGGGUGUAUAUGAUUGCAGUACCCACAGCUGCCAGAAGAGGGCACCCUAUGAGUUAAAGAUGAUUGUGAACCCCCUGGCAUGGGUGCUGGGAAAUGAACUCUGGUUCUUCGUAAGACCAAUACAGGUUUUUAACUGCUGGGCCUUCUUUCCUGCCCUAGAUGUCAUAUAGUUGGAACUGUGCAGCAAUAAGUGUCUUCAAUCACUUGGAAGCAACAUUUGUCAGCAACAACUUGGUAUUCAUUUUUUUCUCUGCUGUUUGUAAUCACUGAAUUUUUUUUAAAUUUUAAUUUUUAAUAUAUUUGUAUGUUUGCAUAUGCAUGUAUGUUCACCACAUGUGUUCCAUACCCAUCAAGUCCAGAAAAGGACAUUAGAUUCUUUGAAUUAAGUCACAGACAGUUGUGAGCUGCCCGUGGGUAUUGGGGACCAAACCAUGGUCCUGUGUAAGAACAGCCACUGAGCCAUCUCUCCCAAACCCUGUGAUCAUUCUUUUCAGGACAGCUGUGAGCUUUUUCUCCUAAAC